AACGCACCUUGCGCUCCUUGGUAUUCCGAGGAGCAUGCCUGUUUGAGUGUCAUGAAACUCUCAACCUCCAACUUUUUUAUUAAGGUUGAAGGCUUGGACUUGAGCGCUGCUGGUUUUUAUUAACCGGCUCGCUUGAAAUGAAUUAGCAGAUCCUUUUUGUAAUCGGUUCCACUCGACGUGAUAAGUAUUUCGCCGAGGACAUACGAAAGUAUGGCCGAGAUAAAGAAAGUUUUUAGAUCCGCUUCUAAUUCUUAGAUAGAGCUUGCUCUACUAAACCCCAUUUUAUGAUCUGGCCUCAAAUCAGGUAGGACUACCCGCUGAACUUAA
rnacentral:misc_RNA from 1 species